UACCUUGGCAGCGGAACACAGGGCUCUGCGGGCAGGGACCUCACUGUUCUCCAGCACCCUGCUCACAGGGUUUAUGGAGUAGACACUCAGGAGCCAGGUCAGGCAGGCUGCUGUCUUCAGAGGCUCAGGCACAGAGAGAGCCAUCCCAGUGCCUGAAAGAGCCAGGAGAGCAGAAGCUGCACGAGUGGUGGCCCUAGGCUUUGGCCCCUGGUGAUGCUCUGGAGUCCAUGCCUUCCUGUCCAUGUCACCUCAUAGAAGCCAGGGGAGCAGUGCAAGAAUGACGGACAGCUCCAUCUCUUGCAACAUCAAGGCCCAGAACUCCCCGUGUUGAGCUCCAGCCCUCCAAACUAACUGUCCACCGAACAGCUCUCCUGGGACGUUCCUGUUGUGCCUCAAAUUCAACGCACCAGAACUGUAUUCCUUGGUCCACCUCUGUGGCAGCUAUGGAUUGGCUUAUUGCCAUCCAGCAUCUGUUUGCCCCGGGACUGAAGAGGUAUAGGUGUGAUGAGGAACUGUACCUCUCAGUUGGACCCUGUAUACUGAAGUGUCCCCCGCCAGACUCUUUCCUGGUAGAUUUGAAACUAAGGGGCCACAAAGACAACAUCCUGCCCACGCUGAGGCUGAAAUACCCUGUGCACUUGCACUGUACAUGCAUGAAGCUCUCCCCAUCCUAAUAAAAAAGAGACAA